UUUGAAUAAUAAUGUUCUGUAUGAUGUCUUGGGAUAUGUCGAACUAGCUAUGGUGAUCUAGGGAUGUUUGCCUGGAUAAUGUCGUCAAAUCUAGCUGACAUCUUCUAUGGCCCUGGAAGAUGUCCAUCUUGCUAUGGCAUCUGGUGCAGUCCACCGGUGUCCACUGAGUAAAGUUGAUGGGUAACUGGUGGGUAGAGCUCUUCUAUGCUCUAGGAAAAUGUCCACACUGACUCGAGUUCCAGUUUCCUUUUUGUUCAGUUUAGCCUGGGAAAACCCAUCAGGUGAUUGGAUGUUGUUGGAAAUGAAGGUUGAUUUUGCAGGUGUUUUGUCAGAGGUGAGCCAUUGAUGACAUUAUGAUGUUGUUGUAUGGAGCUGCUAUUAUUAUAUUAGGCUCAAAACUUAUGUGAUCUCUCCUGUUUACAAUAUGUUGUUUAAUUUAACACUUGAUUGUUAUAAUUCUUGAACAUUUGUUGCUAGUAAAGGUGAUAUUCAAUCCAUUUUUGUGCGAUGUUUUCUUAAUGAUUGCAAUGGCAAAAUGGGCUUAAGAAUUUCCUUAACUUAGCACAAAAAUUGGGCCUACAAUCCUCACAUAAAUAUUUAAUACUGUUUAAUAGAAUAAUGAAUUAAUAAAAGAUGUUUUAAUUAUAUUUUAUUUGUGAGCUUUGAAUUGAGAAUUUGAUAAGUUAGUAAUGUACAGUAGUUAUGUUUUAAAAUGUUUCUGUCAAAAAAUUUAUUUAAUAAUAAUGAUGAUCAUUUAUUUUAGAACCCUUCACUAAGAAGUUAUCCCAGUCCUAUAUCUGAAGAGUAUUCAAUCAUAAAUAAACCAAAAGAUGGUGUACCUUUAAUUGUUAUAAGUGUUCAUCCAGAUCAAAAAUCAAUUGGAAAUGAUUUGAGGACUAGAUUACAAAAUAAGAAUGUUGAAGUUUGGUGCUCAACAGAUGAUUUAGACAAAGAUUAUGAUUCAUGCAGCUCAAUAAGUAGUUCACCAGUUACUCCUACAGCAUCUUUACAUUUUCUAGGAAGAAGUCACAGUCCUGUGUACAAUAGCAGUCAGUCUGAUAAUACUUCAGAAUUGGGAAGAAAAUCAAGUUUUCAGUUCUCAAAUAAUUUUGAAAAUGGAAUAAAUUUCUCACAAAUUACAAAUAGUCAAAAUUCUACAAUGCCUAUAUCAACAUUGAAUAAAUUAAAAGUAUUUAAAAAAAAAGCUGAUGAAGCAAGUUUGGUAAUAAUACUAUUAUCGCAAGCAUAUUGUUCUUCCAAGACAUCAAUCAAACAGGUAUAUUACUGUGAACAUAGAAAAUGGACAAUUGUUAUCAGAACAGAAGAAUUUAAUAUGCCAAAUUGGAUUACACACUUACUAGAUGUAAAGAUUAUUGAGGUAUUU